CUUUUCUUUCUUCUGCUCUUCCUCAUUCUCUCUCUCUCUCUCCUUCUUUCCUGUUCUGAUUGUCAGGUGGGAGAAGCCUUCAUUUCCCUGAGGUGGGUUCUGAAUCGCUGCUUUGGACCAGACCCUGCUCAGGCAGAGGUUCAGAGUGAAGUGCUCAGGAUCCUCCAGCCCUUUCUUCUGGAGCUGCUCCACAGCCCAGAGCACAGCCUGGAGCCGGGCUGGGCUCAGGGAAGGUAAGACCAUCCAUCCUGGCCGUGCUCCUUUCUGUUGAGCUUGGCCUGGUUUGCCUCAUCUUGGUUUAUAUGUGGAAAUGAAAGGGGUGUGGCAGCUUCAUCUCCAGAUCCCCAACUAGUGCUGUUCUAAGGGGGAAAGACUGGACCUUUGUCAUUAUGUAUCUUUGUUCUCUUUUUUCCUCCUGGAAAACAUGCUUUUAUCCCUGCCUCCAGGGGAAAUCUGUUGCUUAUCUCAAUUUCUCUCUUUCCUAAUGGAAUUUCACCCCUUGCCCUACAGGUGGAUUGCUGUGCCUCUCUCCAUUGGAUUGAUUCCUCUCUCCAUUUGCUUUACCUGCAGUACUAUGAUCCCUUCCCCCAAGGUAGCCUCCUUCUUGCUUUAUAUUCUGGGAAUAUCUGGGAGUUUCUCCACACAGCUCUAUCACCCUACUGAGUAAUUUAUUUCUUAUCAUAGAUGCAAUUUGUUCUCUGUAUGGAUUGAUAUGGAAAGAAUGUUUUUAUUCAAACUGUAAAUCAAUGGGAGAUCAACGAGACAUAUGAAAGGACAAAGAGAAAUUAUGUUAAUUCCCCACUAGAGAAACCUUUAUCUGAACUGCUUUUAGCAUGUUUUCUCUGUAGGGAAGCAAUCUAAUCAACACCCAUGGGUGCACCCAGUCCUGUGGGUGUAUCUUCUCUGUUCUACUCAGCUUUGACCAGAGUUUUUCAAACUAGUUUCAGCUUUAGUGGUCCUGUGAAGACAUAGUUGGUCUCUUGGUGCUGUCAAUUUUUUGUCUUUCCAGCUCCUGGAAAGCCUAAUAAUGGACACUUUAUGUGGUCCUACUUUAUAAAGCAAUGACUUUAUAAGCAAUGGCUACAGUUACCACAAAGACUUUCCUGUAUCAGCUGCCCACAAGUCAAUCUCUCUGUUAAAAUUUGGUCUGCAGACCAGGAAUUAUUAAAAUUGUUAAUAAUGCCCAGAGGCUUCUGUCUAAAGGGAGAAUUGCCUCCAUCUGUUUUCUGCAUUUGAAACCCUUGUGUAGAUGCUGAAAUAGUUUUGUAUCGACCUUUUGCUGGGAAUCUCUGGGUAUGGAGAUUCUUGCCUGCCUUUCUUUUAUCUAUUGCUGGAAAUAAUUUCUGCCAUAGACUAUUCUGCCCUGCUUUACAAUACUUAUAAUACUAUUUUAACGACAUUACUUUUAGGUAUCUAUUAAUGGAAAGGUUUGAUCUUAAAACCAAAAAAAGUUUAUUAGUAGAUAACAACUUCUUAGGGUAUUAUCAACCCCUGAUACUGGUUCAGAUGCUUUGAAUAGAAUUUUAGACACUCUUGAUUUGAUUAGAAAUUUGAAACAUGGCAUUGCAGGCUUUCUACUGUUUUCAUUUUAACUUGCUUAAUUUCUAUCUAUUAUAGACCUCCAUAGGUGUACUUGUAAUUUUUUUCUGAAACUGAGGCUUCUAGUGUCUUCAUACUGUCCUCAACAGCAGAAGUGAAUUGUUCUGUCCUGUGGUGGGGGAGACUGGUGACAGAUCUCUAAUGUUUCAGAGUAAAGCCUUUGUCAUUAAGAGCAAGUAUGAGGUUUAGGAGAUCCCUGUCCUUGCCCAGUCUCCUCUGUGCUGCCUCAGGGGUUUAGGUACGUCCUAGAAUUUGUCUGUACCUCAGUUUCCGUUUGUGGAAGGGAAAUGCUGCUCAGCAGACUGUCUGACUGUUCAUCAGAAAGUGUUAAUGUCCCAGGUUUGGAAGAGAGGUAAGACUUGUGGUGAGGCUGGUAAGCACAGGGAAGACUGGCAGCAAGAUCCUAGAAAGGCAGGAAGGAUCAGAAAGCAGAAAUGGUGCUGAAGUGAGGGUGACAGGAAGGAAUUCCCUCCAUCCCUGUGUCUGUUCUUAGAUCACAGCAGAUGUCACUUCAGUCCUGCUUCACCCACUCAUUAGAGAAAAAGGGACAAAACCACGGAGGUCUUCCUCAACUUCCAUGGUUUCCUUUCUGGAGAGAUUCUUGAUAAACCAUCAAAAGUUAAUGAUCAAAAAGCUUAUCAGGGUCUUUUCAUCUAUAAAUUUAUAAGACAAAAGAGAAAUAAUAAAGCCAUUGGAUAAUUAGUAACUAGCCAGGGCCCGCCCGGUGCCACUGGGCUCAAACUGCCCCAAGACCUGCACGCAGACUCAGGAGGAUGAGAAGGAGACAAGGAUGAGGAGAAGAAAUAGAGUGGGAGGCAGGGAGAGAAUCAGCCAAGGAGACAACAAAAUGGAAGGAAUAGCAGCAGAAACAAUAGUGAAGAGAGAAGGGAGCUAGGUACAAAGAAUCUGAAAGAUGUAAAGGAAGCAGAGAAAACUUAAAGAUGAGACAGAGCUGGAAGUGCAGAAGAAAUGAGACAUAGUGGGCCAGGAAGAGGAAUUAAUUACUGGGCACGUUUCCCCACCCAGAUCUGCACCCAGAGCACCACGUCCCCUCCCUGCAGGGCGUUAGCAAAGAUUUAAUGGCUACGGACGACUUUGUGUGGCUAAAAAGGAGUAAGAAUUCCGAGCCCAUGUAAAAACAUUUAUUGCAAGAAAUUUUCAUGUGAACAUGAAUGUAAAAAGACAACUUCAGCUUCUAAAGAUUUUUUUUGGGGUCAUACUCUUAAUAAAGAGUUGUGCUGGUUUUGCACCCGUCACAGGAGUGGUGAACAUUUUUUGGCAUUGUACUGUCAGUAUGUUGAUACAAUUUCCAUGCAUUUUAUUUGUUAUUAAUUACAGUUUUCCUUUAUCCCCGCCUCUCAGGUAGAAAUUACAACGUUACUGGCUGGUAACAGUAAUUUUCAAUUGAAAUUCAAUUGUAUCCAACCAUGACAUACACUUUCUGCAUGAUAUGUCCUUAAAAUUCAAGGAUUUUGCAAACAGACCCAACAGAUUGUGGAGCUCUUGCAAUAUGUGACAGAGGAGAUGUUGUCAUGCUGUGUUAUUUAUUUCUGCCUCUCUUUGGCAUGGUCAUCUCUUUUACAUAAACCAAGAUGGAAAAUAUUACCACUGUUCUUGUUAAAAAGAUUGUCCAUAUUCUGUUGGUAUAAAAAACCUGUUAAAUGUUUGAGGGGUAAUGGGGACACAAAUCAUUGAGUUUAAACAAAGAACAGCAAUAUUUGUCAAUGGAAGCUGUAAAGAGAAAAAAGCAUAGCAACGAAUUGUGUCUGUAUUAUGUGGUUUCAAGGGUUCCUUGUGCACCCAGAAGUCCUGCUGCUGCUGCUUCUGCUUGCCUUGAAGACCUUCAGCUGCAGAAGCUUUUUUUGAAACCAGUGAACUUUGAAGUCUAUAAAACCAGAAAUGCACAUCUGUUUGUAUGGUAGGACCUCCCUGAUUGCUACAACUAGAUGCCACAUGGAGAACGCUUAGCUGAACAAGGAAACAUUUCAAAUACUGAGGAGAAGGUAAAUAUUCUCUAUCACUUUAUCCUGAAGGGCUUUUUCCUUUGGUCUAUUAGAACUGUCCAUUUUAAACUAUAGGAACCUGGGCAAUUAGAAAAAAAUAAAUAAAUAAACUUAUCGGCUUUUGUCUUUCCAUUCAUUGGAAACUGCCAGGUUGUGCCAGUGAAUGGCUCAGCCCCAUGGAGUAUUUCAGAUUCCUCAGUGCAGGAGAACCAGUGAGCUUUUCAGUGUUUCUUAAAUGUUUAAAAUAGCUAGUGGUCAGACUGAAAGGGAUUCCUGUUGUGAAUUAGCCAGCAUCCCUAUUUUACAGCCUGGCACUAAGGAUUGCAAUAUCAUAUUUCUCAGGUUAUUACAAGUGCAGUUGUGAAGUGAUGAGAGAAUAGCAGAGGUCAAGGGUGGAAGCUAGAUUGUAGUUCUAUUGGAGGAAGAGCUCAGUUGCAGAGUGCCAUAAUCAGACAAUGUUCUCAUUUAGCUUAACUGUCCCCCAGGGAUUGUGCCUUGAGGAUGAAUAUUUGAAAUAAGGGGACUUGGGUUUCCUAUACUAAUUUUUAUCUAUUACCAGUGCUUACUAUAUGUUGAUUUUCUUAAUUGUAACUAUUUCCCAGGCCAUGACUUGAUUCUCAAGUCAUUCUGAUUAAUAUGAUCUUGGUCAUUGUAAUGGGAGAAACAUAAAGUUUGAAGAUACCAGGAGAUACUUGCUUGUUUUUUUCAUGUUUGUGGUAUUUGGUUUUGUAUUAACUGUUCCACAGUAAUCUCUUCUCCCCUGUAUCUAAUAAAGUGAGUGAAUUACUUAACACUGAAAA